rnacentral:rRNA from 1 species
UGUUUCGGCUAGGGGGUCAUCCCGACUUACCAACCCGAUGCAAACUACGAAUACCGAAGAAUGUUAUCACGGGAGACACACGGCGGGUGCUAACGUCCGUCGUGAAGAGGGAAACAACCCAGACCGCCAGCUAAGGUCCCAAAGUCAUGGUUAAGUGGGAAACGAUGUGGGAAGGCACAGACAGCCAGGAUGUUGGCUUAGAAGCAGCCAUCAUUUAAAGAAAGCGUAAUAGCUCACUGGUCGAGUC